ACACAAAGCAAAAAACAAAAACAAAGAUAUAUCUAGAAGCAAAAAAAGGAAAGUGCAGUGACGAUCUCUCUCCUUAGCUCCAAAGCUUUCCAAUCCAAGUUCCAUAUGAAAUUUGUUGGUUUUCAUCCCAAAUCGAAGGUACCCGUUCUUAAUUUGAAGUUUUUUCUUCCAUUUCUUUCCUUUCCAUCGCCGAUUUAAUGUUUUUUGCUCUUGAGAUCUGAAAUGAUGGUAAGGGUGCUGCUGCAAUUUGUACUUGUUCAACCCAAAUCGAAGAAGUAUGCAUCUUAAUCAUUGAUUUCUCAAAGGGUUCCAGUUUCCUGGAUUGCCUAUCAUUCUUCCACUGGACAACAUUCUUGCAGAGUGCUGGUGUCAUUGUACGCAAUUGACCAAUGUCCGGCCAUCCAUAAGAGAAUUUCCCAACUACUGCAUAUGGAAGCUCCUCAAUCGCAUUCAUCCGGGCUACUUCCUCUGUCCAUUUAACAUAAGGCUGUCCUUGUAGGAAAGUAAUUCUUUUGAUUGGAAUUUGAGCAUCUGGUUGUAUUUGUGUUUGAGUGUUUUCAUUCAAAACUGCUGGUUUGAAGAGGUUGGCGUAUUGUAAUUUGGUUUGUGGUUGUUCUUCUCCCUGUUUUGUUG